AGGGCAUGAAGGGCUUGUUCUUGUUUUUGAAUUGCAGAGUCUGAGAUAAAACUCAGAUGGCCUGGCACUGAACUGCCUACAUCCUCAUCUUGGGGUAUGUCUAAAUUUGUUAAGUUGUCAAAAACCAAUCAGCAGAGAGAUCCACUUGCCUCUGCUAAGACUGAAGAUGAACCACUAAACCUGGUUUACAUCGUGCUGACAUCCUUUCUGAGACCCCACACCAUCUGUGAACUACAGCACUCAAAAGCUUAAGCUACAAAUCAAGGCCGACUUAGCGGGC